CAAGAGUUAUGGCAGAAAGAAGAUAAGGGAGUGAUUGCGAUUCUCCUUGUUCAGGAUUCUGCAGAGACUAGUACUGUGGAUCCUGCUUUGUCUCUAGGCAUGGGAACUGAUUUUGUAGAGUAUACCUUGAAAAAUCAAGCUAGCAUAUCAGAUUUAACAAACAUGAUGGAAAAAGUCUACAACAAGUUCACUGGCAUAAGUGGGUAGUUGCUG